rnacentral:rRNA from 1 species
GACGAACGCUGGCGGCGUGCUUAACACAUGCAAGUCGAACGGAAAGGCCCUGCUUUUGUGGGGUGCUCGAGUGGCGAACGGGUGAGUAACACGUGAGUAACCUGCCCUUGACUUUGGGAUAACUUCAGGAAACUGGGGCUAAUACCGGAUAGGAGCUCCUGCUGCAUGGUGGGGGUUGGAAAGUUUCGGCGGUUGGGGAUGGACUCGCGGCUUAUCAGCUUGUUGGUGGGGUAGUGGCUUACCAAGGCUUUGACGGGUAGCCGGCCUGAGAGGGUGACCGGACACAUUGGGACUGAGAUACGGCACAGACUCCUACGGGAGGCAGCAGUGGGGAAUAUUGCACAAUGGGCGGAAGCCUGAUGCAGCAACGCCGCGUGCGGGAUGACGGCCUUCGGGUUGUAAACCGCUUUCGCCUGUGACGAAGCGUGAGUGACGGUAAUGGGUGAAGAAGCACCGGCUAACUACGUG